AACGAACGCUGGCGGCAUGCGUAACACAUGCAAGUCGAACGAGACCUUCGGGUCUAGUGGCGCACGGGUGCGUAACGCGUGGGAACCUGCCCUUAGGUUCGGAAUAACUCCCCGAAAGGGGUGCUAAUACCGGAUAAUGUCUUCGGACCAAAGAUUUAUCGCCUUUGGAUGGGCCCGCGUUGGAUUAGCUAGUUGGUAGGGUAAAAGCCUACCAAGGCGACGAUCCAUAGCUGGUCUGAGAGGAUGAUCAGCCACACUGGGACUGAGACACGGCCCAGACUCCUACGGGAGGCAGCAGUGGGGAAUAUUGGACAAUGGGCGAAAGCCUGAUCCAGCAAUGCCGCGUGAGUGAUGAAGGCCUUAGGGUUGUAAAGCUCUUUUACCCGGGAUGAUAAUGACAGUACCGGGAGAAUAAGCUCCGGCUAACUCCGUG
rnacentral:rRNA from 1 species